rnacentral:rRNA from 1 species
CCUACGGGGGGCAGCAGUGAGGAAUAUUGGUCAAUGGCCGGGAGGCUGAACCAGCCAAGUCGCGUGAGGGAAGACGGCCCUACGGGUUGUAAACCUCUUUUGUCAGGGAGCAAGGUGCAGGUCGGGACCUGCUGUGAGAGUACCUGAAGAAAAAGCAUCGGCUAACUCCGUGCCAGCAGCCGCGGUAAUACGGAGGAUGCGAGCGUUAUCCGGAUUUAUUGGGUUUAAAGGGUGCGCAGGCGGCGGCACAAGUAAGCGGUAAAAUCGCGGGGCUCAACCCCGCCCCGCCGUUGAAACUGUGUGCCUUGAGUGCGCGAAGGGUAGGCGGAAUGCGUGGUGUAGCGGUGAAAUGCAUAGAGAUCACGCAGAACUCCGAUCGCGAAGGCAGCCUACCGGCGCGCAACUGACGCUCAUGCACGAAAGCGUGGGUAUCGAACAGGAUUAGAUACCCCGGUAGUC